rnacentral:rRNA from 1 species
UACGAAGGGGGCUAGCGUUGCUCGGAAUCACUGGGCGUAAAGCGCACGUAGGCGGAUUUCUAAGUCAGGGGUGAAAUCCUGGAGCUCAACUCCAGAACUGCCUUUGAUACUGGGAAUCUCGAGUCCGGGAGAGGUGAGUGGAACUGCGAGUGUAGAGGUGAAAUUCGUAGAUAUUCGCAAGAACACCAGUGGCGAAGGCGGCUCACUGGCCCGGUACUGACGCUGACGGUGCGAAAGCGUGGG